UAGAAUUAUUCGUUUUUGUAGGACAAUAAAUACUCUCAAACUUUCCGAUGCCUGUCUCCAAACAAUAAUAUUUUGACUGAUUAUGGAAUACACUUGGGUAUUGUUUACGUGUUCACGAAAAAAGAGCUACGACGCUUAAGUGGAACUGGGCAGGGCACUUAGUUAGAACACAAGAUGGAUGGUGGACACGACGAAUCAAAAAAUGGAGACCCAGAUACUAUUAUAGCGCCACUCAGUCGGUUACCACACACCAGCAGGCUCGGUCGCUUGCUGGGUCGAAACAAUAACAAACCCUCUUGCGAGAUGUAUACGCAAAACACCUUUUUUUUACCAAAAAUAAAUAAGUUUGACAAUUGUUUGCGUUUUAAUUAAUAUUAUUUUAUAUAAUUGUUUCCGUCAACACUCACACACCUACCGGAACACUAUAAAAGAAUCCAAGGUCGGCGACCAACUAGAAGGACCGACUAC
rnacentral:lncRNA from 1 species